GAUGAACGCUGGCGGCGUGCUUAACACAUGCAAGUCGAACGAAGCAAUCUAACGGAAGUUUUCGGAUGGAAGCUGGAUUGACUGAGUGGCGGACGGGUGAGUAACGCGUGGGUAACCUGCCUCACACUGGGGGACAACAGUUAGAAAUGACUGCUAAUACCGCAUAAGCGCACAGGACCGCAUGGUCUAGCGUGAAAAACUCCGUUGGUGUGAGAGGGACCCGCGUUUGAUUAGCUCGUUGGUGGGGUAACGGCCUACCAAGGCGACGAUCAGUAGCCGACAUGAGAGGGUGACGGGAGACAUUGGGGCUGAGACACGGCGCAAACUCCUACGGGAGGAAGCAGUGGGGAAUAUUGCACAAUGGGUGAAACCCUGAUGCAGCUACGCCGCGUGAGUGAAGAAGUAUUUCGGUAUGUAAAGCUCUAUCAGCAGGGAAGAAAAUGACGGUACCUGACUAAGAAGCCCCGGCUAACUACGUGCCAGCAGCCGCAGUAA
rnacentral:rRNA from 1 species